rnacentral:rRNA from 1 species
AUUGAACGCUGGCGGCAGGCCUAACACAUGCAAGUCGAACGGUAACAGGAAGCAGCUUGCUGCUUUGCUGACGAGUGGCGGACGGGGGAGGAAUGUCUGGGAAACUGCCUGAUGGAGGGGGAGAACUACUGGAAACGGUAGCUAAUACCGCAUAACGUCGCAAGACCAAAGAGGGGGACCUUCGGGCCUCUUGCCAUCGGAUGUGCCCAGAUGGGAUUAGCUAGUAGGUGGGGUAACGGCUCACCUAGGCGACGAUCCCUAGCUGGUCUGAGAGGAUGACCAGCCACACUGGAACUGAGACACGGUCCAGACUCCUACGGGAGGCAGCAGUGGGGAAUAUUGCACAAUGGGCGCAAGCCUGAUGCAGCCAUGCCGCGUGUAUGAAGAAGGCCUUCGGGUUGUAAAGUACUUUCGGCGGGGAGGAAGGGAGUAAAGUUAAUACCUUUGCUUAUUGACGUUACCCGCAGAAGAAGCACCGGCUAACUCCGUG